GUCACUUUGUGAUGAACAUAUUUCUGGGAUAAAAAAGAAAAACGGAACCCAAAUCUAGGGUUGUCAUUAAUUCUGGCAUUAAAAAAGAAAGUGGUCAUAGUACAAUAAUGUCAUAUCAUAAAUUUAUACAUCUUAAGAUUAAACAUAAACUAUAUAAAUUAAAAAAAAACCAAAUUUACCCAGGUCACGUUGAGUUUUCUUUCU